rnacentral:rRNA from 1 species
UACAGGGGGGGCAAGCGUUGUUCGGAAUUACUGGGCGUAAAGGGCGCGUAGGCGGCCUGCUAAGUCGAACGUGAAAUCCCCGAGCUCAACUCGGGAACUGCGUCCGAUACUGACAGGCUUGAAUCCGGGAGAGGGAUGCGGAAUUCCAGGUGUAGCGGUGAAAUGCGUAGAUAUCUGGAGGAACACCGGUGGCGAAGGCGGCAUCCUGGACCGGCAUUGACGCUGAGGCGCGAAAGCUAGGGGAGCAAACGGG